CAGGGAUCCAUGGGAAAUGUAGUUCCGAGGCCUGCCUAGAGGAGGGAGCUGGUGCUCAGGCAGGACAGCCACCAGGUUUGAUGCCAACCUGACUUUCCUGGGCAGACAACAACCCCACCAAUGUGUCCUGGAGCCCCACCUCCCCAGAUCCCUGCCCCACCAGCAAAAGAAAGGGACAGGCUUGGAGUAUGGAUCGACCUGCCAACACUCAUGUUCAGCAGGGAAGCAAUUACAGAAGCCAGACCUUCCACCUUCUGCACCCUAUAAUGAUCCUGGGUCCAUGCUCCCAGAGGGAUAAUGAAUAGGAAAGCUUCCAAGUUGGGGGGGGGGUUGGGAUAGGGAGUUCUGGCGGUGGGAAUUGUGUGGGAUUGUACCCCUCUUAUCCUAUGGGCUUGUCAAUAUUUCCAUCUUAUAAAUAAAAAAAGAAAAGAAAAAGAAAGUGUGAGCUGAAGGGCUAGGACCUAGCCUAAUCAAGUUCCCCACUUGCGCCAAGCUCCAGUAAGGGCCAUAUUGGAAAUGAUCUUAACAGCUGUAAUUCACAGGCAUGACUGUGGAGGUGACAGUCCCCAAGCCAGCUUCCUUCUGCAUGCUGGGCACAGCAUUGCUGCUGACAGUCCCAUGGGGAGGGAUGAUUGCACCAGUGCCACAGCUCCAUUUGACAACAGAUGCAGCAGGGCCUCUCACCGGUAAUUCAAAAGAUCUCAUUCGAUGUGGCCAUUGUAAAUCAUUUAUUACCAUUGAGUAGGAAGAAAAAUAUACCAGAUGUUAUGAUGAAAUAUGGGACAUUUUCCUCUUGGGGCCAAUCAUAAUGGCAUAGUUUAAAUCUUCUAAAUGGCUAUCUCAGUGAUUUACCAGAAAAUAAAAAACACACAUCAUCAGCUA